rnacentral:rRNA from 1 species
CUCAGGAUGAACGCUAGCGGCAGGCUUAACACAUGCAAGUCGAGGGGGUAUAGUAGCAAUACUAGAGACCGGCGCACGGGUGCGUAACGCGUAUGCAACCUACCUUUACAGAGGGAUAGCCCAGAGAAAUUUGGAUUAAUACCUCAUAGUGUUAUUAGAUGGCAUCAUUUGAUAACUAAAGUUCCAACGGUAAAAGAUGGGCAUGCGUCCUAUUAGCUAGAUGGUAAGGUAACGGCUUACCAUGGCUACGAUAGGUAGGGGUCCUGAGAGGGAGAUCCCCCACACUGGUACUGAGACACGGACCAGACUCCUACGGGAGGCAGCAGUGAGGAAUAUUGGACAAUGGGCGCAAGCCUGAUCCAGCCAUGCCGCGUGCAGGAAGAAGCAUCUAUGGUGUGUAAACUGCUUUUGUACGGGAAGAAACACUCCUACGUGUAGGAGCUUGACGGUACCGUAAGAAUAAGGAUCGGCUAACUCCGUG